GAGGACUUUGGGGAUUGAGAGGGUGGGGGGCACUGCAGCAGGCCUCAGUGAAAGUGUGGGCUCCCUGGUUCCCCCUCACAGAGUGACUGUUGGCUGGGGAAGCGAGAGAGCAGCCCCAGGCAUGGAAGUCCUGAGUCCCCUCCUCCCUGCAGAAGGAACAUGGCCUGGGGCUGAAAGCAGGAUUGUGUCUCCUAAGGUGACAGCCAGGGACAAAGAGUUCCAUCCCUAAGGAUCGUGUACCUGAUUUUCUGAGCUGCACAAAAGCCUUGUGACCCCAGGCCGCAGCUGGGGUGCUGGCAGGAGCCAGGAUCACCCUUGCCAGCAUGCUCUCAACCUUUCUUCCCAGGCACCCCAGAAUUUUGGCUGAGCUGAGAAAUGCACGGGAGGGGGAGGGGUGGGGACACAAUCCAGAGUCCCAUCCCUCAACCACCCAGCAUUUCUGUCACUUCCUGUAGGGUAGGCCAGGAGUGGGCGGCCACACAAAGUUGCAGUGGUCUGAAGUCCCCCUCCUUACCCAUGCUGCUCGCUGGUAUGCCUUGGUCCUGCUGGUCGGCCUGGGGAGGACAGAGAAGGGACGCUGUGCUGGUGGCAGAGGCACCGUCCUACCCUUCGAAGGCCUGCAAACCCAUGUGUUCUUGCCACAGCUGCCCGACAGGAAGCAGGACUGGCUAGAGUGUCCAGGUUCCACUUUCCCCAGGCCCAGUCAUUCCCCCUGAGAUUUGAAAUAGAAGGAAAUUCCUCAAUGUCCAUUAUUACCCUCAUAAUCCUCAGGAGGGGGCAGGUGCCUGGUUCCUCCAUAGCUCACCAGGGUUGUGUAGCAUGAGCCCAGGGUAGCCCAGCCUGGUGCCACUGUCCCUAGCUGACCUAUGACAAAUCACAAAACUCUCACGUCUUCAUCUAUCCAGGAGGGAGCCCUCCACCUGGAGAAUUCUUGGCUGCCAGGGUGCUGGGCCUGUCAGUACAGUGUCCCGGGACAUGCCGUGGUCCCCAGGCAGAUGACGGCUGCUUGCUGAGGAACCCAAGCAGGGUUGAGGCGUGAUCUGUUACCUCCCCCUGGGGCUGCCCUCCUCCAUAGAAGCCGGGGUUUGAAGGGCUGGACAACAGAACACCCCCUAAAUUGGUCUCCAUCCUAAGCCAAGGCUCCUCCUUUCCUGAAAGGUGGCUGCCUGACAGGGUAAGUCCCGCCCCUCUCUUCUAGAAAACUGCUGACUCUGUGUCCACAGAGCCAUUUUCAUCUCUUUGGAUGAAAGCUCUGCGGUGACAUUUUGACUGGAUAGCGAAAGGGAUAAAGUUUGGGCUUGAGAUUACCCGGCGCAAGAGCCACGGGGUUUCCCAAGCAGCGACGUGGGAAGGAGAGUAGAAUUGGUCCUCGUGUGAAGGGUGUGUGUCCUCCUGGGUCCCAUGGGUGAGGGUCAUGUGCCCUAAAGGAAGAAGCUCUGUGGCUGCCCAGGGCACGGGUCCUCCCUUGUCCCGAAGUCACUCACCGCCCUUGGCUCUUUCCUGUAUCUGCAUCCUGCCCAUUGCAGUGUCGCUUGGCAUGGGCUGGGGGGUGCAGCUGCCCCCCCAUGGGUGGCCCCAGAGGGCUGCUUCUUCCCCUUUGUCAGCUUCCUGUCUCCUGGCUGCCCCGGCCUCCUCUGCCUUCACCCUGCCUUUCUGGACCCCUUGUCCUGAGGCCUCCAUCUUUUAGCUGCCCUCCACGCUCCUGCUUUUUGGCUUGCGUCCAACAUCCAAGGUCUGAAAAAGGAAGCAGCCUCAUCCCCACCCUCUUAUCAGGAGCUCCUGUGUUUAACUCCAACAAAGUGGUUAUCUGGCUGGUUCUAGAGCCUGUCAUUGAGGGCAUGUUCUUUCAUGCCCUGUGCUGGGACCUGGCUGGUCUCUGUGGCGUCUUCAUGGCACGCUAACCUCAGGAUUUGUCCCCAAGUCAUCUGAUUGCAGAGCUCACAGUUUUCCAGGUCACCCUAUGAUCAUUCUUGUUUGUUUUGCUUUGUUCAUUUUGUGGGGUCAAGGGGUGGUGUAGCCCCAAACCAGAAGGAGGGUGUGAUCUUGUUUCUGGCAGUCUCAGGACAGACUUCCUGUGAAAUGGGAAGAAGCAGACCGAGCAGUGAAGCCUUCAUGGGGGAGAUGGGAGGAGUGGUGGAGACCCCGGGGACGUAGAAAAGACUAGAAGUCUUCACCAAGUGCCAACCGUGGUUACCUCUGCAGAGGCACCGGAAGAAGGGAUUGAUUCUCCAUUUCUACUUGAUAUGCUUCUGUAUUUAAAAAAGAAAAAAAAGGGUCCGGCCAAGUGGCUCAGUUGGUUAAGAGCAUGAGCUC